AUAGAAAAACUAGCCUACCAACACCCCACCUACUUAUUAUAAUAAACCAUUUAUAUAUGCUAGUAUAGGCGACAGAAAACUUUUUAGCGCAAUAAAUAAAGUACUGUAAAGGAAAGAUGAAAUAAAAAUGAAAUAAAUCAUAAAAAUAAAAUAAAGCAAAGAUAACAACCUGUACCUUUUGCAUAAUGGUCUAGCAAGUCCAACUAAACAAAAAGAAUUUUAGCUUUUUAUCCCGAAACCAGACGAGCUACCCUAAAGCAGCAAUAAUUAGAGCCAAUCCAUCUCUGUGGCAAAAGAGUGGAAAGACUUUAAGGUAGAGGUGACAAACCUAACGAGCCUGGAUAUAGCUGGUUACUUGAGAAUGAAUUUUAGUUCAACUAAAAGCAACUAUAUCACCCAAAGUACUUAUUAAUGCUUUUAUUUUAACCAACCGGGGUACACCCCGGUUGGUAAAGGAAACAGCCUAAAAUAAUGAAUAAUGAUUAUAAUUAAAAAGGACAUAAGACUAGUAGGCCUAAGAGCAGCCACCUAAAUAAUAGCGUCAAAGCUUUACUUAAAGAGACCUAGUAUUUUAAUAAAAGAAUCUAAAUUCACUAAUAUAAUCAAGUAAAUCUAUAUAAUAGAUAAGUUAUUACUAGAAUAAGUAACAAGAAAAAAUUCUUUAAUGCACGUGUAAAUCAGAACGAACCAAUCACUGAUAAUUAAUGAACAUAUUUAUGCAACAAAAUAUAAAAUUUAAAAAACCAUUAACCCAACACAGGGGCAUUUAAAAUGAUUAAAUGUCUGAAAAGGAACUCGGCAAGCUAGAGAUUCGCCUGUUUACCAAAAACAUAGCCUCUUGACAUAUUAAUAUAAGAGGUACUGCCUGCCCAGUGACACCUGUUCAACGGCCGCGGUAUUAUGACCGUGCAAAGGUAGCGUAAUCACUUGUCUUUUAAAUAAAGACCUGUAUGAAUGGCAAAACGAAAACUCAACUGUCUCCUCAGACUAGUCAGUGAAAUUGAUAUCCCCGUGAAGAAGCGGGGAUAAAAGUAUAAGACGAGAAGACCCUAUGGAGCUUUAAACCAAAAUUAACCAUGAUUAAUAACUUUUAAAAAUGGGCUUAAUCCUCAGGCUUUAGGUUGGGGCGACCACGGGGUAAAAAACAACCCCCGAGAUAAAAUUAAGAAGGACACUUCAAGAAAUAGUAAUAUUAAUGUAAUUGACCCACUAAGUGAUCAACGAACCAAGUUACCCUAGGGAUAACAGCGCAAUCCUUUCACAGAGUCCCUAUCGACGAACGGGUUUACGACCUCGAUGUUGGAUCAGGGCCCCCAAAUGGUGCAAAAGCUAUUAAAGGUUCGUUUGUUCAACGAUUAAUGUCCUACGCGAUCUGAGUUCAGACCGGAGUAAUCCAGGUCAGUUUCUAUCUAUAAGUAAUUUUUUCCAGUACGAAAGGACCGAAAAAACAAGGCCUAUAAGAAACUUAAGCCUUUAAUAAACUUCUGACCAUAAUAAAGAAGAUAACAUAACAAGAGUCUAAAGACUUA
rnacentral:rRNA from 1 species